AGCAGAUUCUCGAGAGGAGAUAUCCUUUUAGAGAAAUCCCUUUGGAGGAUCUCUGGUGAGGAUCACUUGGGAAGAAUCUCUUGAGAAAGGCUCUGGAGAAGGGAAGCUCUUGGAGGACAAUCUCUAAGGAGGUCUCACUGGAGCUCUCUCUGGUGAAGUCAGCUGAGAUGGAGCUGGCCUGAUGUCACUAGAAUCCUUGUUUAGGCAGACCUUGUGGUUUCUGAGAAGCUGAAGUCAAGGAGAAGCUUUGGGUACCUUUUGGUGGUGGAGAAUUGGUUGGUGGCAAAGUGUGGGCCUUUUGGCAUCUUGACAUGGCUACAAGCUAUUUCCCGGAUCAGUGGGUAAGAAAUUUGCUGCCUCCUGGAAUCCAGAGACUGAACUCCUUGUGGAAGAUGCCAUGGAGAUGCCCAUAGAGACCACAUGUUACUCCAG
rnacentral:lncRNA from 1 species